AAAAACGCCCCAAUGAAAGGUACCUCUUGUACAAAGAAUGGGCUCACCCUAGGAGCUUUUAUAAAUUGCAGCCUCUGGAUCUGAUAAGAAAGUAUUAUGGAGAAAAGGUUGGUAUCUAUUUUGCAUGGCUUGCCUUCUACACAGAAAUGUUGGCAUUUGCAGCAGUGGUGGGAUUGGGCUGCUUUAUCUUUGGAUACCAAACUAAGGAAGCAAGCACAUGGAGCAAGGAGGUGUGUGAUCCCCAAAUUGGAGGCAGCAUUAUCAUGUGUCCUCAGUGUGACAGGGAAUGCACUUAUU